AUUGAACGCUGGCGGCAUGCCUUACACAUGCAAGUCGAACGGUAACAGGUCUUCGGAUGCUGACGAGUGGCGAACGGGUGAGUAAUACAUCGGAACGUGCCCAGUCGUGGGGGAUAACUACGCGAAAGCGUAGCUAAUACAGCAUACGAUCUAUGGAUGAAAGCGGGGGAUCGCAAGACCUCGCGCGAUUGGAGCGGCCGAUGGCAGAUUAGGUAGUUGGUGGGGUAAAGGCUCACCAAGCCGACGAUCUGUAGCUGGUCUGAGAGGACGACCAGCCACACUGGGACUGAGACACGGCCCAGACUCCUACGGGAGGCAGCAGUGGGGAAUUUUGGACAAUGGGCGCAAGCCUGAUCCAGCCAUGCCGCGUGCAGGAUGAAGGCCUUCGGGUUGUAAACUGCUUUUGUACGGAACGAAAAGUCUCUUUCUAAUAAAGAGGGAUCAUGACGGUACCGUAAGAAUAAGCACCGGCUAACUACGUGCCAGCAGCCGCAGUAA
rnacentral:rRNA from 1 species